CUUUCUGGAGCCUACGUGCCACAUCAGCAACGUGGCGUGGAUGUGUGGAUCCACGUGGCGGUCUCGAGACGCUGGCUGUCGAGCUUUCUCUUGUCAGAGUCGGGCCGUAUUCGGGCUGAAGGCUGGGAGCCGGGAGUAAUAAUUCACACGCUGUAUUGAAUUCCUGAGUGAUCAUGCUGCUUUCUUCCACGGCUGUCUCCCCUGUUGCCUGAGGAGCUGCGUCUUCACGGACGGCCGGUUCUAUCGCAGAAGCGGGCUACUGCUGUUCUGUCUGUGGUUCAUCGCGGAGCUGUUGGGCCAGGUGGCUGGUGGCUGACUGAUUCCCCCGGCGGUGGUGGUCCCUUUACUCCCUGUACAGUAGUGCACUUGGGUGUCCGUCAGUGGUUUUGUUUUGUUCACGUGUGGUGUGGUGCAUCAGGACCCUUCUCCCCUUCAGUUAGUCAUCUCUGCCUGGUAAGCCCUCAG
ensembl:lncRNA